UACAGAGGGCCCGAGCGUUACGCGGAAUCAUUGGGCUUAAAGCGUGUGCAGGCGGACCCGUAAGUGUCUUGUGAAAUCCCACAGCUCAACUGUGGAAUCGCUUGGUAGACUGCGGGUCUUGAGGUUGGUAGGGGUCGCCGGAACUCUAGGUGGAGCGGUGAAAUGCGUAGAUAUCUAGAGGAACGCCGAAGGUGAAGACAGGCGACUGGGCCAAUUCUGACGCUGAGACACGAAAGCGUGGGGAGCGAACGGG
rnacentral:rRNA from 1 species